rnacentral:tRNA from 1 species
GGCCCGUUGGUGUAGUUGGCCAACACGCCGGAUUCUCAAUUCGGAGAUGAUGAGUUCAAACCUCAUACGGGCUGCCA